AGAUGUGAGGGCAAUCUGGCUGCAAUGUCUGUCACUCUAUUGAUCACUAGGAUUGAUUCCAUUCAUCUGAUUGACUACAGAUGUUCCUCUCCUUCCUUAUCACUCCAUGUGCACCACUCCCAUGCUGCAUGCUUGGUACAAAGAAUAGCCUUCCCUGAUAGAGGAGGACACUUUUUUGGUCAAGGAUUUAGGAGUAGCUGUGCUCCCCUGUUAGAACCUCCAAACAUGCUCUUAAAUGUCCAUUUGCAGGAGAAUGUAGGAUAGUAAACUUCCAAAACUCCAGACACAUCCAAAUGAGGUACCACAUGUAGCAAUCUGCCUUUCUUA
rnacentral:snRNA from 1 species